rnacentral:rRNA from 1 species
AUUGAACGCUGGCGGCAGGCCUAACACAUGCAAGUCGAACGAGUGGCGGACGGGUGAGUAAUGUCUGGGAAACUGCCCGAUGGAGGGGGAUAACUACUGGAAACGGUAGCUAAUAACGCAUACCAUCGGCUUUGCCCAGAUGGUAUUAGCUAGUAGGUGGGGUAACGGCUCACCGAGGCGACGAUCCCUAGCUGGUCUGCGAGGAUGACCAGCCAGAAUGGAACUGAGAAACGGUCCAGACUCCGACGGGAGGCAUCAGUGGGGAAUAUUGGACAAUGGGAGAAAGCCUGAUGCAGCCAUGCCGCGUGUGUGAAGAAGGCCUGCGGGUUGGAAAGUACUUUCAGCGAGGAGGCGUUACUCGCAGAAGAAGCACCGGCUAACUACGUGCCAGCAGCCGCGGUAAUUC